rnacentral:sRNA from 1 species
GGGCGGCAUUGCCAGCCGGCUGUAGGCAUUCAGGGCAGUGUCUUCUGCAUCUCCUAGGAACCUCGGGAGCGGCAGCUCCGGCGCCUGGUAGCGAGAGGCGGGUUCCGGAGAUCCCGGCCUCACUUCGUCCCACUGUGGUUAGGGGUGAGUCCUGCAAAUGUUAAGUGAUUUGCUCAAGGUGCCCAUUUCGCAGGAAUUGGAGCCCAGGCCAGUUCUCUGAGCCUAUCAUUAGGGCUAAAGGAGUGCGUGAUCAGAAUGGUGUCUGGACGGUUCUACUUGUCCUGCCUGCUGCUGGGGUCCCUGGGCUCUAUGUGCAUCCUCUUCACUAUCUACUGGAUGCAGUACUGGCGUGGUGGCUUUGCCUGGAAUGGCAGCAUCUACAUGUUCAACUGGCACCCAGUGCUUAUGGUUGCUGGCAUGGUGGUAUUCUAUGGAGGUGGUGAGUAAGAGGUCAGGAAGGGAGGUGGGAUAGGGCCCAGGCUGGACAAAGCUGCACUUUCCCUCUCCAAGGCUGGCCUUUGUAAAUGUUGGGCUUGGGGCUAUGGGGGUAGGGUGGGU